UACGUAGGGUGCGAGCGUUGUCCGGAAUUACUGGGCGUAAAGAGCUCGUAGGUGGUUUGUCGCGUUGUUCGUGAAAACCGGGGGCUUAACCCUCGGCGUGCGGGCGAUACGGGCAGACUUGAGUACUGCAGGGGAGACUGGAAUUCCUGGUGUAGCGGUGGAAUGCGCAGAUAUCAGGAGGAACACCGGUGGCGAAGGCGGGUCUCUGGGCAGUAACUGAUGCUGAGGAGCGAAAGCGUGGGGAGCGAACAGG
rnacentral:rRNA from 1 species